CAGUCGCCGCGGUAAUACGAAGGGGGCGAGCGUUGCUCGGAAUGACUGGGCGUAAAGGGCGCGUAGGUGGUACGGACAGUCAGAUGUGAAAUUCCCGGGCUCAACCUGGGGGCUGCAUUUGAUACGUCCGAACUAGAGUGUGGAAGAGGGUCGUGGAAUUCCCAGUGUAGAGGUGAAAUUCGUAGAUAUUGGGAAGAACACCGGUGGCGAAGGCGGCGACCUGGUCCAUUACUGACGCUGAGGCGCGAAAGCGUGGGGAGCAAACCGGAUUAGAUACCCGGGUAGUCCCUGUCUCUUAUAC
rnacentral:rRNA from 1 species